rnacentral:rRNA from 1 species
AGUGAACGCUGGCGGUAGGCCUAACACAUGCAAGUCGAACGGCAGCACAGUAAGAGCUUGCUCUUACGGUUGGCGAGUGGCGGACGGGUGAGGAAUACAUCGGAAUCUACUUUUUCGUGGGGGAUAACGUAGGGAAACUUACGCUAAUACCGCAUACGACCUACGGGUGAAAGCAGGGGAUCUUCGGACCUUUCGCGAUUGAAUGAGCCGAUGUCGGAUUAGCUAGUUGGCGGGGUAAAGGCACACCAAGGCGACGAUCCGUAGCUGAUCUGAGAGGAUGAUCAGCCACACUGGAACUGAGACACGGUCCAGACUCCUACGGGAGGCAGCAGUGGGGAAUAUUGGACAAUGGGCGCAAGCCUGAUCCAGCCAUACCGCGUGAGUGAAGAAGGCCUUCGGAUUGUAAAACCCUUUUAUUAGGAAAGAAAAGCAGCAUAUUAAUACCCCGCUAUUCUGACGGUACCCAAAGAAUAAGCACCGGCUAACUUCGUG